rnacentral:rRNA from 1 species
UACGUAGGGGGCAAGCGUUGUCCGGAAUCAUUGGGCGUAAAGAGCGUGUAGGCGGUCCGGUAAGUCCGCUGUGAAAGUCGGGGGCUCAACCCUCGAAUGCCGGUGGAUACUGUCGGGCUAGAGUGCGGAAGAGGCGAGUGGAAUUCCUGGUGUAGCGGUGAAAUGCGCAGAUAUCAGGAGGAACACCAAUAGCGAAGGCAGCUCGCUGGGACGUUACUGACACUGAGGCGCGAAAGCGUGGGGAGCGAACAGG